CGGAGGAAAAGAAACUAACAAGGAUUCCCCCAGUAACGGCGAGUGAAGCGGAAGAGCUCAAGCUUAAAAUCUCCAUGUUUUACAUGGCGAAUUGUAGUCUAUUGAGGCUGUUGUCAGCAUAGCGAUUUGGGAUAAGUCCCUUGGAAAAGGGCAGCAUAGAGGGUGAUACUCCCGUCUUUGCUCAGAUUGUCUAUGUGUACGAUACGCUUUCUUUGAGUCGAGUUGUUUGGGAAUACAGCUCAAAGUAGGUGGUAAAUUCCAUCUAAAGCUAAAUAUUGGUGCGAGACCGAUAGCGAACAAGUACCGUGAGGGAAAGAUGAAAAGACUUUGAAAAGAGAGUUAAAGAGUACCUGAACUGUUGAAAGGGAACCGUAACAUGUCCAGUGUUGUAUCUUGUGCAUAUUUCAUUAGUGGAGUAAUUUACUGGUGCCCUGUGCAUGAGUGUGACGUCAAAGUCAGUUUGUAUGCUGCGGGAGAUGGUUAGCAAGGAGGUGCGUCACUUUUGUGUCAGUUAUACCUUGUUAUCUAGUAGCCGUGGUUGAGACUGAGGUGCCUACAACAUGCUUAUAGAGUAUAUUGUUGUCUCGUUAUUAUACCUGUUUGGAUAGCUUGCUAUGCUGAUGGUCUAUAGUGGCGAUUGAUGAUGGUAUUAACUUUUUGCUGUUCGGGACUUUGAC
rnacentral:rRNA from 1 species